rnacentral:rRNA from 1 species
AUUGAACGCUGGCGGCAGGCCUAACACAUGCAAGUCGAGCGGAGCGUCUGACGGGUGAGUAAUGCCUAGGAAUCUGCCUGGUAGUGGGGGAUAACGUCCGGAAACGGGCGCUAAUACCGCAUACUAUCAGAUGAGCCUAGGUCGGAUUAGCUAGUGGGGGGGGUAAAGGCCAACCAAGGCGAGGAUCCGUAACUGGUCUGAGAGGAUGAUCAGUCAACUUGAAACUGAGACAGGGUCCGAAGUCAUACGGGAGGCAGAAGUGGGGAAUAUUGGACAAUGGGCGAAAGCCUGAUCCAGCCAUGGCGCGUGUGUGAAGAAGGGCUUCGGAUUGUAAAGCACUUAAAGUUGUGAGGCGUUACCAACAGCAUAAGCACCGGCUAACUGCGUGCCAGCAGCCGCGGUAAUAC